GGGGGUCUCCUCUCUGCUCCCAUGGAUGCCCACACAGAAGUCCUCAGAGGUUUUUAGGGCAGGCUGCAGGAAGCUGAGAUCACACCCAUUAAAUGGUCCCUUUGCCUGCUCUUCCCUCGCCUGAUUACAGGUUGUCUAGACUGAGAAGUAUAGGUUUUCCUCUUGGAUCAUGAACAGGAUAAGGUAUGACACGCCACCCUCCACGUAGUGGAAAAGGGAUGUCAGUGCCUGCUCAAGAAGGCUUUCUCUUUUGGCUCUGGCUGACUUCACUUCUGCCAUCAGCUUUCACAGGGAGAGGAUGGGGCAGUCCAUGCCCAUGCAGUGCCCACUGCACAGGCAGGCCUUCAAUUGCAGCAACCUUGCUAAGACUAAAGAAAAAGAGAUGCAACUUUGAGAGCUCCCAAAUGUGGCAUGGCGGAGCAUCAUCUGCACAACAAGUGCUGGGACCAGAAGGAUGUGGGCUACAAACGAACUGCUCAUACCCCACUGCUCAGGUUCGCUGGACAUCACCUGCAUCUUUAAUGGUGUUUGGGACAGACUUUGUGUCAUGGUAAAUUUCACUAACUGCCAGUAAGGGGAAUUUGGUGUCUGGGGAGGAGGUAGGUUGGGUGAGAGGUGUGCCCAGUCAUGCUGUCUUUUUCAUCACCUUAUGUUGUCAUCCCUGUUCCUUGGGGAAUUGAAAGGAGAGUGCAGACGUCACUGGGCAGUCCAAGGGAAGGGGACAGUUUCCCUGUACAGAGGAUGAUGACAGGGAAAAGGGGAAAUCCUACAGUCUAUGGAUCUGCCAAAUCUGUUCCAGGGAAAAGGCAAAAAGCUGUCCCAACAAGCCCACUGUGCUUAUGCCUGCUGCAAACCCAUGUUAACAGCGGAAUGAGGAGUCAGGCAGCCUGAGUGGUUCAAAUACUGAACAUUAAAGACCAGCUCCUACUUCUUCAAUGCUGAAGGCAGAACUCCCAGCAAAAGGUCUGGUCCUUAGUUUCUGGAAGUCCAGGUAAGUCAAUUAAAAGGGGGGGAAAAAAAAGGAGAAAGAAAAUCAGUGGAUGAGGAAAAUUCUGCCAUCAGCUAUGGCAGCUGACAGCAGCGAGUUUGCCCAGGUAGAAAAGAGAUCCAGCACCUUCUUUGCUUUUAGGCAGACAUGAUACCACAUCCAGCACCCCAUUGUACAUGGUACUGUUCAGCCACGGAGAUGGUGUCAGUCUGCCCAAAGUCUUUACAAAGACCUUUGCACAACAUCUCUGCAGCCAAAACUUGUUUAUUAAGAGAUUGCUUAUCAGAAAUGAGGUCCAGUCAUCUGAUGGGCAUUAGUUAUGUUAAUGCAUUAAACACACUGAAAUAUCACCUACUUACCCUAACCCUUGUUUGUCUACAUCACCUUUGCAUUCAGUGUGAUAUCUAUGGGUGAGAUUUGAUAGCAUUUGCUAACCACGUAAGAGCUGAGCUACCAACUCUUCUUUUGGUAAGAAAAGGCAUCAACCAAAAUAAAUGAGUUAUUCUUAGAUAACGAAGAUAAGAG
rnacentral:lncRNA from 14 species